rnacentral:rRNA from 1 species
AUGUUACCUCUUCAACCACCGGGUUACUGGCGCCGGUGUCAUCCUGUCAAUGAGCAAGGUGUUGAUAAGGAGGACAGCAACAAACAACAAAUAUAA